rnacentral:piRNA from 1 species
UGAGAGAAUUCAAGCAUUUGUAAUCUAGAG